rnacentral:lncRNA from 1 species
CGGUCGAUAACUUGAAUCUGCUAAAGGCGAUAACGGAAAAGGAAACAGUUGAGAAAGCCAAGCAAUCCAUAAGAAGCUCCCCGUUUGAUAACAGACUGAAUGUGGACGAUGCCGAUUCAACUAAAAAUCGGAAGCUGACCGACGAGUACGACUCCACUAAGAGUGGACUGGACCGCAAGGUUCAAGAUGACCCAGAUGGCCUCCAUCAACUGGAUGGAACUCCUUUAACUGCUGAAGACAUUGUCCAUAAAAUUGCCACCAGGAUUUAUGAGGAGAACGACAGAGGAGUGUUUGACAAGAUUGUCUCUAAACUGCUGAAUCUCGGCCUAAUCACUGAAAGCCAGGCACAUACUCUAGAAGAUGAAGUAAUUUGAUGAUUUAUGCCAGAGCAGCCCAGAUCUCCAGGGUAACAGAAUUGCUUGGGUUGGUGAUGCAUACUAAUAAAAUUAAUUAGACAGUCUCUACUUUUUCCUCUUAAUAAAUGCAGCUUGAAG